UUUGUUCAAUUGCAGGUGAUGAAUUCCAUGGGUUGGUAGAAACUUAGAAUGGUACCACCAGUCACCAACACCCCCUAGACCAGAGCAAACUAUCGAGUCGUGUGGACAGAAGCUGCAGUUUCCAGCGUAGCACUGUGUAGUAGCUGCUCUUAUUGCCGAUCCAGCUGUCAUGGUCGAAGUUCGGGUUUCUUUGGGCAGCCCCUAUCCAGCUGGUCUUCAUUUACAGCUGAACUACAUCCAGGAUCGGUUGCAGCCUUAGAAGAAAGAAGAUGUUGUACAACUACAGGACUUUCAAUCUCAGUCAAGUUGAGGGGUCAGUUGCACGAAUGGUAACUGUAAUUCAAACUGGUCACUGGAAAAAGUGCCGCUGUGUGGGAAUCAAUUGUAGUUUCUCCGGACAAGAUGUUACAGCCAGUGUAUGAAGACUGAACUUUUUGUACAGUCACAGGUGCUCUUGCAAAGACUGAUGGCUUGGCAGCAUAAACUAUUCUAUGGUUAUAGGGGUAAUGUCUUUAAACAGAAGCAUGCUGUUGUGGAGUGAAAGUGCACAAACCAUUGAUAACCCUUUGGAGAAUCAGUACCAGGUGUGGCAAGAAGUUUGAAAUCAAAGUCACAAGAAGUUGUUUGAUGAUGGAAGUAUCUGUGAUCAUUUAGUAUUUCCAGUGGUUCAGAGGAACAGAUUACACUCAGUUAAAACUAAAUGUGAUAUUUAUCUUUGUGAAUGAACGAGGACUUAAUGAGGAUAAAAUGUUAAGAAGUCAAACCUGAUGCAGCAACAAUUUUGUGACAGUAUCAGUGUAAUAUUUAACCAUGUACAACUGUUUUUCAUUAUAAAUGCAGUAAAAGGUAAUACAAUGUUAAAACUGCUUUACACUUUUUAUGCGAGGGAAUAUGUUGUAUAUGGUCACUAUAGAUGUUUUUCCAUUUGAUGAAAUGAUAUUGUGGGUGAACCGGUGAAGAAUAUAUUGACCAAAUCUGUCAUGUUGACCAUAAUGUUCCGUGCAAAUUUUAUUGUACAAAAAGUAGAUUUGUUAUAGCACCAAAUAAUAGUGAGAUUGGAAGGCCAGUAUGCAAACCACUGAGCUAUCCGCCCACCACCAUUAGAUAUAUUAAGGCAAAAAUCGUCAUCUCGGCGCAAAAACUGUAUGCAUGUUUGUGCUUCUUUACUUCAAUGAGCCCACAUCUGGCGCUGAGGUGACAUUAUAAUUCCAAAAAAAACCUAAUACCUCCUCAUCGGUAACACUACUUAUUUACGUUGCUUACAGUUUAGCAUGAUAAAAAAAUAUGGAAUAAAAAUCUUGAUAAAAUU